AGUUUGAUCCUGGCUCAGGAUGAACGCUAGCUACAGGCUUAACACAUGCAAGUCGAGGGGAAACGACAUCGAAAGCUUGCUUUUGAUGGGCGUCGACCGGCGCACGGGUGAGUAACGCGUAUCCAACCUGCCCACCACUUGGGGAUAACCUUGCGAAAGUAAGACUAAUACCCAAUGACGUCUCUAGAAGACAUCUGAAAGGGAUUAAAGAUUUAUCGGUGAUGGAUGGGGAUGCGUCUGAUUAGCUUGUUGGCGGGGUAACGGCCCACCAAGGCGACGAUCAGUAGGGGUUCUGAGAGGAAGGUCCCCCACAUUGGAACUGAAACACGGUCCAAACUCCUACGGGAGGCAGCAGUGAGGAAUAUUGGUCAAUGGACGAGAGUCUGAACCAGCCAAGUAGCGUGCAGGAUGACGGCCCUAUGGGUUGUAAACUGCUUUUAUAAGGGAAUAAAGUGAGUCUCGUGAGACUUUUUGCAUGUACCUUAUGAAUAAGGACCGGCUAAUUCCGUGCCAGCAGCCGCGGUAAUACGGAAGGUCCGGGCGUUAUCCGGAUUUAUUGGGUUUAAAGGGAGCGUAGGCCGGAGAUUAAGCGUGUUGUGAAAUGUAGACGCUCAACGUCUGCACUGCAGCGCGAACUGGUUUCCUUGAGUACGCACAAAGUGGGCGGAAUUCGUGGUGUAGCGGUGAAAUGCUUAGAUAUCACGAAGAACUCCGAUUGCGAAGGCAGCUCACUGGAGCGCAACUGACGCUGAAGCUCGAAAGUGCGGGUAUCGAACAGGAUUAGAUACCCUGGUAGUCCGCACGGUAAACGAUGGAUGCCCGCUGUUGGUCUGAAUAGGUCAGCGGCCAAGCGAAAGCAUUAAGCAUCCCACCUGGGGAGUACGCCGGCAACGGUGAAACUCAAAGGAAUUGACG
rnacentral:rRNA from 1 species